rnacentral:tRNA from 1 species
GGGGCUGUAGCUCAGCUGGCUAGAGCACCUGCUUUGCAAGCAGGAAGUCGUGGGUUCGAGUCCCAUCAGCUCCACCA